CUAAGCCUAAUUAAUUAAGGAAAUAUAUUGCGAUAACUCUCUUUAACUUUCACGCUGCUCCUUCUCUCUCAAUCAAUCACGCUUUUCUCUCUCUCUCUCUAGUUUCUCACAUCCCUCUCACCGCCUCGUCCCUCUCGCUCUGUCAUCCUUCACUCAUGGACUCGAAUCUGCGCUCUCUUUCCUUUGAGAGUGCGUGGCCCAAAAUUUCUCGCCGAAUUUGAUAAUAGAAGGGACUGAAGAGAACUUCUCAAAUGGCAAGUGGUUUGAAAUGUUGAUUGCAAGGUUUGGAUGAGCUGUUGUCUUGGCCUUUAAGAAUAUAUGCAUCUAGUACAUGCUUUCUCAUCCAAGAUGCAAGUGAAAUUCAAGUUUGAUACAUAAAGAAAAACCUUAUUACAGAUAUCACUACUCAAGCUAUUUUGAUACAAGAAGUUCAAGUUUGAGUUACAUGAGAGUUUGGACAAGAGAACCAGGGCAAUGAGAGCUUUUGUAUGAACAUUUUCAGGCAGAGUGAUUUUUGACAUAUGUUGGUUGGUUCAUUUGUAACAUUCCUUCAAUUUUGUUUUUAUGAUUUCACCUAUGAUGCUUUUGUAUAAGCACUGUAGAUAUGCUUUUGUACAUUCAGCAUUUAUCAUUCAAUAAAACAUAACUUCUUAACAA